GAGAAAAGAAUCGCUUACGGUAAUAAUCUACUCAACCUCAAUAAUGUCGGCGUCUUUCUUCGUCGACCAUUUGAUGAUGCUCAAGCUUCUUCUCCAUAUCUAAGGGAAGCCUUCGUCGAAUUGAGUGUUCUAGUGGUAAGCUCUUCGAUUUAAGCAAUUGGAUUCGACUACGUUUCUAUCUGUUGAGUUUUGUUCAUUGUAGUUCGUGUUGGAUAUCAAUCAAUUUAGUGGGUUAAUCAAUCUGGAAGAGUUCAGAUAUGCCUCUGAUGUCAUGAAGGGGACUAUAAAUCUAUUCUAUAACUCGGUUUUAUGACUUUGUAUAUGAAUCACAGAUCAUCUGAAAGAUGGAGAAAGUGAGUGUAUCACCUCAACGAUCCAACAGCGUUGAUAGCUUAAGGGUUGAAUCCCCGAAGAGAAAAGGUUUCGGGUUGAAGAAAUGGAGAAGGAUCAAGAGAGAUACUCCUGUGAAAGACGAGUCCGCUGCACCUGUUGAUGAUGGUAGUAAGUUGCUGAAGCGUAAUUUGACUGGCUUGGUGAACCCUCCUUCUAAACAUGUAGACUUGUCUUCGGUUGAAGCAAGACAGAGUAGCGAAGGCUCUGUUGGAUCUGUAAACAUGAUGACUCAUCAUCUUCCAAGUGUAGUCAACGGGUUUAGUCCCAUUCCAGGUUUGUUUACUGUAGGCCAAGGUUUUGACAAGAGCGAAGAGCUUAGUGGUAGUUCAACAGCUGCGAAGAAUGUAGUAGGAGGACGAGGGAAGAUUGUUUCAGGUCGCCAAGGGAGUGAUACCAUCAAGAAUGGAAGUGAUUUUGUGUUUUCGAGUGGCGCAGUUUCUGUUGGAGAGAAAGAUGAGAGACUGAUGAUGAAUCAUAUAACAACAGAAGGUCAAGAAGCUAGGGAGCAAGUCGAAACAUAUAGCAGAAGCGAGAACGGAGGAGAAGGUGAAGAUGGAGAUGAGAGUCAUAAGAAGAAGAACAACCAUUGUUGGGCAGACAAGGAUCACGUUGCGGAUUCUAUCAGAAGUCUUGCAGCUCUGCAAGAAGCUCUUUGGAAAGGUUUGCACACAAACCAUACUUCUCACUAAAGACACAUGAUGUUUCUAAACUAAAGUGAAACAUGUGCAGAGGUUACAAGUUUCCAGGAGCUGAGUAAGGAAUCUAUACCACCACUACAUUCGAACAAUGAUGAAGUCGAUCCAGGAUCACAGGUACUUAUCUUGAAGCAAAAGGUGAAAAAUCUCCAACACAAACUCGAGGAAGCGAGAGCUGAUCUCGACACAAAGGAAGCCAGGAUUCAAGAACUCGAAAACGCGAAGAUUGAAUGUGAACUUGAAGGCGUUUUCCAGAGAAAGAUCGAAGCUGAAAUCCAGCAUUUGUUGCUCACAAGUUCUCUGAGUGCAUCACUACAAGUAAUCAAAGAACAACCAAAGAAGGUACAUUCUGUAAUAUCUGUUGAGUUUUGUUCAUUGUAGUUCGUGUUGGAUAUCAAUCAAUUUAGUGGGUUAAUCAAUCUGGAAGAGUUCAGAUAUGCCUCUGAUGUCAUGAAGGGGACUAUAAAUCUAUUCUAUAACUCGGUUUUAUGACUUUGUAUAUGAAUCACAGAUCAUCUGAAAGAUGGAGAAAGUGAGUGUAUCACCUCAACGAUCCAACAGCGUUGAUAGCUUAAGGGUUGAAUCCCCGAAGAGAAAAGGUUUCGGGUUGAAGAAAUGGAGAAGGAUCAAGAGAGAUACUCCUGUGAAAGACGAGUCCGCUGCACCUGUUGAUGAUGGUAGUAAGUUGCUGAAGCGUAAUUUGACUGGCUUGGUGAACCCUCCUUCUAAACAUGUAGACUUGUCUUCGGUUGAAGCAAGACAGAGUAGCGAAGGCUCUGUUGGAUCUGUAAACAUGAUGACUCAU
rnacentral:lncRNA from 1 species